rnacentral:rRNA from 1 species
CCGGUUGAUCCUGCCGGAGCCUACUGUUAUUGGGUUAGGACUAAGCCAUGCUAGUCAAGGUGUGAACUAUGUCACGUCUGGCGAAAUGCUUCGUAACGCGUAGUUAACCUACCCUCGGAACAGGUGACAACAGGGGGAAACUCCUGCUAAUCUCUGAUAGACUAAUCAUGCUGGAAUGCGGGUUAGUUUAAAACGUGCACCGCAUGUGGUGUAACGGUCCGAGGAUGGGACUGCGUUCCAUUAGGUAGUAGGUGGUGUAAAGGACCACCUAGCCGAGGAUGGAUAGGGGCCGUGAGAGCGGUAGCCCCAAGAUGGCCACUGAGACAACGGGCCGGGCCCUACGGGGUGCAGCAGGUACGAAACCUCAUCAAUGCACGAAAGUGUGAAUGGGCUAACCCAAGUGCUGCCCGUCGUGGUAGCUUUUAACGAGUGUAAAUAGCUCGUAGAAUAAGGAGAGGACAAGACUGGUGCCAGCCCCCGCGGUAAAACCAGCUCUUCGAAUGGUAGGCAUUAUUGGGCCUAAAGCGUACGUAGCCGGGCUUGCAAGUCUCCAGAUAAAGCUCACGUCCUAAGCGUGAAAUCCCUGGGGAUACUACAGGCCUUGGGACCGGGAUAGGGCAAGGGUACGUGUCCGGUAGGGGUGAAAUCCUAUAAUCGGAUACGGACCACCGGUGGCGAAGGCGCUUGCCUGGAACGGGUCCGACGGUGAGGUACGAAAGCCAGGGUAGCGAGCCGGAUUAGAUACCCGGGUAGUCCUGGCCGUAAACGAUGCGGGUUAGGUGUUGCGGCGCACACGAAGCGUCGCGGUGCCGAAGCGAAGGCGUUAAACCUGCCGCCUGGGAAGUACGCUCGCAAGGGUGAAACUUAAAGGAAUUGGCGGGGGAGCACCACAAGGGGUGGAGCCUGCGGUUUAAUUGGACCCAACGCCGGAAAGCUUACCUGGGCAGACAGCAUGAUGAAAGUCAGGUUGAAGGCCUUACUUAAAGAGCUGAGAGGAGGUGCAUGGCCGUCGCCAGCUCGUGCCGUGAGGUGUCCUGUUAAGUCAGGCAACGAGCGAGACCGGAACCCUUAGUUGCCAGCGACAAGUGCGCUUGGUCGGGUACACUAAGGGGACCGCCAGUGAUGAAACUGGAGGAAGGAUCCGUCCACGGCAGGUCAGUAUGCCCCGAUAGCCCAGGGCCACACGCGGGCUACAAUGGCACAGACAAUAGGUCCCGAUACCGAAAGGUGAAGGUAAUCCCGAAACUGUGUCCCAGUUGGAAUUGAGGCUUGCAACUCAGCCUCAUGAACUUGGAAUCCCUAGUAGUCGCAUAUCAUCAUC